GAUGAACGCUGGCGGCGUGCCUAAUACAUGCAAGUCGAGCGAACAGACGAGGAGCUUGCUCCUCUGACGUUAGCGGCGGACGGGUGAGUAACACGUGGAUAACCUACCUAUAAGACUGGGAUAACUUCGGGAAACCGGAGCUAAUACCGGAUAAUAUAUUGAACCGCAUGGUUCAAUAGUGAAAGACGGUUUUGCUGUCACUUAUAGAUGGAUCCGCGCCGCAUUAGCUAGUUGGUAAGGUAACGGCUUACCAAGGCAACGAUGCGUAGCCGACCUGAGAGGGUGAUCGGCCACACUGGAACUGAGACACGGUCCAGACUCCUACGGGAGGCAGCAGUAGGGAAUCUUCCGCAAUGGGCGAAAGCCUGACGGAGCAACGCCGCGUGAGUGAUGAAGGUCUUCGGAUCGUAAAACUCUGUUAUUAGGGAAGAACAUAUGUGUAAGUAACUGUGCACGUCUUGACGGUACCUAAUCAGAAAGCCACGGCUAACUACGUG
rnacentral:rRNA from 1 species